GUCAGGCUCCAGUGUGACUCAGCACAGUGUUCACAGCCCAUGCUCUCAAGAAUCUCAGCUUAGGAGGAGGCAAAGAGCCGCUCUACAGUAAGGUAAAUAAGUCAUUUAGUCAGGAACUCUGCACAUUUACCUCUGCAUUUAUCAAAUAUUUGUUGAAGGAAAUAAUAAAAGAAGUGAGGAGGAAGAAGAGGUUUCCUGGGAGAAAGCACUCGAGGAGCAAUAGGUGUCCUCUUUCAUUUCCACUAAAUAUGCUGCUCAAUGCCUUGUGGCAUAACAGAAUCAAAACUUUUCAGAUGCCCUGCCGCUUUAACAAGACCCAGGAUAUGUCAAAAUGGCUCCCACAGAACUUUCAUUUGAUCUUAUCUUUCGCUGUCACACACAUCGACCUGCAUUUUCUUUUUUCUUUUUGAUUCUUUAUGUCUGCAAAUGAACUGAUGUAAUUAAAAAGGUGAAGAAAUAA
rnacentral:lncRNA from 10 species